rnacentral:rRNA from 1 species
AGUGAACGCUGGCGGCGUGCCUAAUACAUGCAAGUCGAACGGAGUGGCGCACGGGUGAGUAAUGUAUAGAUAAACUGCCCUACACUAGAGGACAACAGGUGGAAACAACUGCUAAUACUCUAUAGUGUAGGAUGAGGCUAUAAUGUAUCAGCUAGUUAGUGAGGUAAUGGCGCACCAAGGAUAUGACGCGUAACUGGUCUGAGAGGAUGAUCAGUCACACUGGAACGGAGACACAGGCCAGGCUCCUACGGGAAGCAGCAGUAGGGUAUAAUGCUCAAGGGGGGAAACCCUGAAGCAGCAACGCCGCGUGGAGGAUGACACUUUUCGGAGCGUAAGCUCCUUUUGUUAGGGAAGCGGUACCUAACGAAUAAGCACCGGCUAACUCCGUGCCAGCAGCCGCGGUAAUUC